AUUGAACGCUGGCGGCAGGCUUAACACAUGCAAGUCGAGCGGAGAGAGGUAGCUUGCUACUGAUCUUAGCGGCGGACGGGUGAGUAAUGCUUAGGAAUCUGCCUAUUAGUGGGGGACAACAUUUCGAAAGGAAUGCUAAUACAGCAUACGUCCUACGGGAGAAAGCAGGUGAUCUUCGGACCUUGCGCUAAUAGAUGAGCCUAAGUCGGAUUAGCUAGUUGGUGGGGUAAAGGCCUACCAAGGCGACGAUCUGUAGCGGCGCUGAGAGGAUGAUCCGCCACACUGGGACUGAGACACGGCACAGACUCCUACGGGAGGGAGCAGUGGGGAAUAUUGGACAAUGGGCGCAAGCCUGAUCCAGCCAUGCCGCGUGCGUGAAGAAGGCCUUAUGGUUGUAAAGCACUUUAAGCGAGGAGGAGGCUACUUUAGAUAAUACCUAGAGAUAGUGGACGUUACUCGCAGAAUAAGCACCGGCUAACUCUGUGCCAGCCGCCGCAGUAAGAC
rnacentral:rRNA from 1 species